rnacentral:rRNA from 1 species
GAUGAACGCUGGCGGCGUGCCUAAUACAUGCAAGUCGAGCGAACAGAUGAGGAGCUUGCUCCUCUGACGUUAGCGGCGGACGGGUGAGUAACACGUGGAUAACCUACCUAUAAGACUGGGAUAACUUCGGGAAACCGGAGCUAAUACCGGAUAAUAUAUUGAACCGCAUGGUUCAAUAGUGAAAGACGGUUUUGCUGUCACUUAUAGCUGGAUCCGCGCCGCAUUAGCUAGUUGGUAAGGUAACGGCUUACCAAGGCAACGACGCGUAGCCGACCUGAGAGGGUGAUCGGCCACACUGGAACUUAGACACGGUCCAGACUCCUACGGGAGGCAGCAGUAGGGAAUCUUCCGCAAUGGGCGAAAGCCUGACGGAGCAACGCCGCGUGAGUGAUGAAGGUCUUCGGAUCGUAAAACUCUGUUAUUAGGGAAGAACAAAUGUGUAAGUAACUAUGCACGUCUUGACGGUACCUAAUCAGAAAGCCACGGCUAACUACGUG